GCAGUGAGACAACGGAGCCGCUUGCGGCGACGGCCCGAAGGGCGAGGCGAAGCCGAGUCAUCCUGCACGACCCACCA
rnacentral:sRNA from 1 species